UGUAGAGAACAUUUAUUUAUUCAGAGCAGAUGUCCAUGAAAUGCAGUCACUGCAAGCACACGACUGUCCAUAAUAGAUUAUACACACACUCACUCACAGACACACAUUCAGACAUCAUACAAAGUAGCAUCUCAUUCUCUUAUACACACAUACAGACCCACACACAUGCAAACACUUUCUCACACUGUCACUGCAGAGCAUAGAAGAUACCAAUCGGGUAUCAGUUUGGAAUGCGGACAAGCAAACUAUAAACCGCUGGGGGUGGAAAUAAAGACUGAGCUUUGUUCGACAACGCAUUGACCAUUUGUAUUGGGUACGUUUUUUUUAAAAUCUAUAAUCCCUUUUUUUUCCUGCUUGGACUCUAACCCAUUUCCAUAAACAUACUUUGAAAAAAUUAUUAGAAGAGCCACAUGGCGUGUGAAGAGGUAUUUAAACAAAAGAAAAUUAUAGAUAUUUUUUUUACCAUAUAUAAAGAGCACAUUCACACACACACAAUGAUGAGAGAUGAUACAUUUUGUGUAGGAUAUGUGAGAGAGAUAGCCUGACCUUUAACCUGGCUGAACUACAAUUCCCAUAUCGGAGUGAACAGCAACUUUCAUAGAACGGGGAGUUAUGUAAGGAACAGUCUCCAUUUUCACCACAUGGAUGAUUGGCGGUGGUGAUUGAGAUUUUUCGAUGAUUUAGUGUCAAGGACCUGGUUAAAAGCCACAAAACACAAAUUGUUUAAUUCUGAUUGUUUCCAAUUUAUGACCCAUUGGAUUACACAAGAUGAUAUAAACCAGAAAGAGAAUUAGUAACUUUCAGAGUUGUUAUAGGACCUUGUGUGUGUGUGUGUGUGUGUGUGUGUGUGUGUGUGUGUGUGUGUGUGUGUGUGUGUGUGUGUGUGUGUGUGUGUGUGUGUGUGGGUGAGGUGGAGUUGUGUUGGAUUAGAUCAAUUGAUAUUGGAUGAUUUUGAAAUCCACGUUUAUUCGGGGACGUUCACUAGCAUAGCUGAACACUGAACGCAACAGACCAGCUUGACGGAAACAAAACCUCAACAUAAGAUUGACAACCUAAAUACAUUUUUGCAAACCCCAUCAGCAGACGUACCCCUCUGUGGUCAUAACACAAAAAAGACAACAAGGCAAGGCACAUGUUUGAAAGAAAAAUAAUAUUGCACAAACAAAUUUAUAACGAUCAAAGAUAGAGAUAUAAUUGUAUUUUAUACCAGUGCCACACCUAGACACAUGUAAAAUAAAAAAAGAAAGGGUUAAAAAAAGAAGCUUUCCCUGGAAAUGGACAUUUAUUCCAAAAUGGCGUCUCACAAUAACGUCAUCACCUCACACCACUAUCAAAGCAUAAAGAAGCCAGACUGCUUCUACACAAAAGAAAAGACGCCUUCAGGUUUAACACAUACAUCAUUAAAUACUUCACUUCUUUUUGUCGUCGUAAAUAUCCAUUUAUAUAUAUAAUCUCUUUAUAAUAAUCAUUUAAAUACCACAAUUAUUCUCUGGAUUCAUUUUGAAUAUCGACAGAACUGUAAAAAAACAAACAAAAUUAAAACACAUACAUUUUUUUUUUCUUUUCAUAUGGCGAGAGGCGGGAAACGUUGCACGGCAACUCAUGCACGUUUUUGAUUGGUUGUUAGGAGCUUUGCUCUGAGUAAAUUCUAACUGUCUCAACUGCCUAUGGGACCCUUCUCUUUCCUAGCUGCACCAGUCAGGCAGCUAUGCAUGCUGUAUUGCGACCAAGCCGUCACAAUGGUAUUAGUGAUGAUGAUGGUGGUAAUGGUGAUCAUGGGGCGGUGGUGUCGACAGCGAUUGUCUUGGCAACGCGUGGUGUAUCUGUGGGGAGGUGAUUAGGGAGAGUGUGUCGUUGAAAGGUAGAGGAAGUGAGAGAGACAUGAGUCAUGAGGGAGGGGAGGUACGUCAGAAUCAAGUGUAAGUUAGCUGGAUCCAAUAGCAUCCCUACAUCUCCUUCCUGAAGUCUCUACUGGCAUAGCUAUCAACUUGCUUCUCAUCAGGACAUUUUAAGGACUUCCUUUGAGCCUUCCAUCUCAACCGAUGAAAUCAAAACACUUAAUCUACGUCUUAGCCCUCCAUCAAACCUUCACAUGCUUGUCACCACCUGAAACAUCUAAAUAUUUACCAUCUAUUCAAUUUGCUGACACUUUAUCAAACGCGACUUACAGGGAGGUUUUUACACAUAUGAAGGAGCAACUAUGGGUUAGGGUUUCUUGGUCAAGGAUGCCUACAUGGCUGGGUAUAUGGGAUUUCGAACCUAGAAUCGAUGGUCUCGCAGUCAUCAUCCCUCAACACGAGACUACGACCUUCGAUCCUUGAUUCCCUAAGGGUUGUGUUUGAAAUAGAAUGCUCGAUGUUUCCCCCGGCUUUGUACUUGUCACCUUGUUGAAAUUCUCCCCUCCUGGUAGCUUUGCCACUCAACCACAUUGUGCAGGCUCCUCUGUGUGUGGGUGUGCGCGUGUGUGUAGUGCCAGGUCACUAACAACCAAGGUCUUUGUGCUUCUUCUAGGUGUGUGCAUGUGUGUGCCUUUGUCAGUGGGUGUGUAUGUGUGUGCAAAUGUAAAGAUUGAUUCGCUGAACGAUGACAAUGCUUUGAAUGUUGCUGCCGGUGUUUUCUAGAGAAUGGAUUAGCAUGAGUCGUGCACGCUCACACACACACACAUACACACACACACACACACACACACACACACACACAAACACACACACACACACACACACACACACACACACACACACACACACACACACACACACA
ensembl:lncRNA